rnacentral:rRNA from 1 species
ACUUCGGUCAAGUUGAACGGAUGACUUAGUGGCGGACGGGUGAGUAACGCGUGAGGAACCUGCCUUUCAGUGGGGGACAACAGUUGGAAACGACUGCUAAUACCGCAUAAUGUAUUCUGACCGCAUGAUCGGAAUACCAAAGAUUUAUUGCUGAAAGAUGGCCUCGCGUCUGAUUAGAUAGUUGGUGAGGUAACGGCUCACCAAGUCGACGAUCGGUAGCCGGACUGAGAGGUUGAACGGCCACAUUGGGACUGAGACACGGCCCAGACUCC